rnacentral:rRNA from 1 species
AUUGAACGCUGGCGGCAUGCCUUACACAUGCAAGUCGAACGGUAACGCGGGGCAACCUGGCGACGAGUGGCGAACGGGUGAGUAAUACAUCGGAACGUGCCCAGUAGUGGGGGAUAGCCCGGCGAAAGCCGGAUUAAUACCGCAUACGACCUACGGGUGAAAGCAGGGGAUCGCAAGACCUUGCGCCAUUGGAGCGGCCGAUGUCAGAUUAGGUUGUUGGUGGGGUAAAGGCCUACCAAGCCGACGAUCUGUAGCUGGUCUGAGAGGACGACCAGCCACACUGGGACUGAGACACGGCCCAGACUCCUACGGGAGGCAGCAGUGGGGAAUUUUGGACAAUGGGCGCAAGCCUGAUCCAGCCAUGCCGCGUGCGGGAAGAAGGCCUUCGGGUUGUAA